AUACAGAGGGUGCAAGCGUUAAUCGGAUUUACUGGGCGUAAAGCGCGCGUAGGCGGCUAAUUAAGUCAAAUGUGAAAUCCCCGAGCUUAACUUGGGAAUUGCAUUCGAUACUGGUUAGCUAGAGUGUGCGAGAGGAUGGUAGAAUUCCAGGUGUAGCGGUGAAAUGCGUAGAGAUCUGGAGGAAUACCGAUGGCGAAGGCAGCCAUCUGGCCUAACACUGACGCUGAGGUGCGAAAGCAUGGGGAGCAAACAGGAUUAGAAACCCCGGUAGUCC
rnacentral:rRNA from 1 species